CCUGCCCAAUGGUUGUAUCUAAAAGCGGUUGAUAAAAGUCGACCGCGUAAGGACAAUUGAAUGGCCGCGGUAACACUGACCGUGAUAAUGUAGCGUAAUCAAUASCCAAUUAAUUGUUGGCCAGUAUGAAUGGCGCCACGAAGGCCCCACUGUCUUAAGGAAAUUCCCAGUGAAAUUGAAUUCGUAGUGAAGAUGCUACGUCCAAUUUGUUAGACGAAAAGACCCCGUUGAGCUUUACUGGGGCACUUACACGGCCCCGGCCUUCAAGACUGGGUUGAUAAGCCAAGGCUUACCAUACCUAGGGACCGGCCGAAUUUAAAUGGGCGGCUUAGACUAUGUGGCAGCCCCCCCCGUCGGGGCAGAUGAAACCCCACUCCCCCAUGUCAAAGGGGCUAACCCCCCCCCCCUUGGGGGGGGACAAUGUAAGUAGGACAGUUUGGUUGGGGCGACCGCCUUUUAGAGAGUAACGAAGGUGCGCUUAAGGUGCGUAAUUAAUGACUGAAGCCUGACUGCGAGGGGGACACCCCGAGCAGACACCCCCAAGCCCGCCCGAGAAGGCUUUGCCUUCUGGGCGGCGGUGGGGUGG
rnacentral:rRNA from 1 species